rnacentral:rRNA from 1 species
UCCACGCCCUAAACGAUGCACACUAGUUGUUGGGAUGCUAGUCAUCUCAGUAAUGCAGUUAACACAUUAAGUGUGCCGCCUGGGGAGUACGGUCGCAAGAUUAAAACUCAAAGGAAUAGACGGGGUGGAGCAAAUCUUUAAACCCUCUCUCAGUUCGGAUUGGAGUCUGCAACUCGACUCCAUGAAGCUGGAAUCGCUAGUAAUCGUAGAUCAGCUAUGCUACGGUGAAUACGUUCCCGGGUCUUGUACUCACCGCCCGUCACACCAUGGGAGUUGAUUUCACCCGAAGUCGGAAUACUAAAGUAGUUACCGACCACGGUGGAAUUAGCGACUGGGGUG